AGAGUUUGAUUCUGGCUCAGGACGAACGCUGGCGGCGUGCUUAACACAUGCAAGUCGAACGGAGUACCCUCGAAAGAGAUUUCGGUCAAUGGAGAGGACUACUUAGUGGCGGACGGGUGAGUAACGCGUGAGGAACCUGCCUUUCAGUGGGGGACAACAGUUGGAAACGACUGCUAAUACCGCAUAACGUACGGGUAUCGCAUGGUACUGGUACCAAAGAUUUAUCGCUGAGAGAUGGCCUCGCGUCUGAUUAGCUAGUUGGUAGGGUAACGGCCUACCAAGGCGACGAUCAGUAGCCGGACUGAGAGGUUGGCCGGCCACAUUGGGACUGAGAUACGGCCCAGACUCCUACGGGAGGCAGCAGUGGGGAAUAUUGGGCAAUGGGCGCAAGCCUGACCCAGCAACGCCGCGUGAAGGAAGAAGGCUUUCGGGUUGUAAACUUCUUUUGACAGGGAAGAGCAGAAGACGGUACCUGUCGAAUAAGCCACGGCUAACUACGUGCCAGCAGCCGCGGUAAUACGUAGGUGGCAAGCGUUGUCCGGAUUUACUGGGUGUAAAGGGCGUGU
rnacentral:rRNA from 1 species